rnacentral:lncRNA from 1 species
GUGUAAACCGACUUUAAGAAAACAAAGCUUCUACGGAAGAGAGUGGAUUUGAACCUCAGUCUCAAAGGUGAAAGACACACACUAAACCAUGCCUGUACCACUCCUAAUUGUUGAAAAGACAAAUAGUCUCGAAAAAAUAAACACUCUCAUAUUAGAAUACAAUUUCAAACUGUAAGCAUGCAUGCAAGUUCAGACUUCAGACUUCAGCAUGCAAAACAUCUACCUAUCAAAAAUCAUAUCUAGUAAGGACGACUAGAGUCUGGAACACACUGCCAAUGGAUUUAACUAUUAAUAGCAUGGCAACUUUAAAGGACUUUAAAAAUAAGUUAUUAAUUUAUUAUAAAACAGCACUAGAUAAAUGUUAUGACGUUGACGAUCCACGAACAUGGAAAUCGGUUUGCUUAAAAUGCAACCAAGCUCGCGACCUGACAAGGCCGAUAACGUGUUGUUUCGUUUAGAUUUAGUUUUCAGAAGUACCUUUUCACAUUGGUAUCUAUGGGGCCUAUUCAGGGUUUUGCUGAAGGUUUAGGAUUGUGAGGGUUUCAAACGUCUUCUGACUCAGUCAGCUUCCAAAAAUGGAAGUGGUUCUGCGGGUCGCAAUGUGAAAAGUUGCAUCUGAUAGUU